GUUUGACAGUUAUGGCAGUUGAAUGGUUUCUAAUUUUAUUGUCCAAUCAGAUGAUUUAAAAUUCAAAACUACGCAUCUGAUUGGACAAUAAAAUUAGAAACCAUUCAACUGCCAGAAAUGUCAAAC